GUAGGUAUGCCUAGUGGCGAAGGCAGGGGGCUGUAAAACCCUGACUCUGACUCAUGGUGUUGCAGGUUCGAGUCCUGCUACCGUA
rnacentral:tRNA from 1 species